AGGAUUUUAAUUUUGAUAAUUGUUAUUCAAGUUGUGCUAUUGUAGCAUAUAAUCAGCCUAAAAUUAGAGAAUUACAAACAUGUCAAAAUUAAAGACAAUUCCAUUAGAAGGUCGAAGGUUUUGAUGAGCACACGUGCGGGGAACCCUAAAUCUAAUUGCUGAAAUGUGUAGUGCAUUAAGCAUAGAAAAGGAUAGCAGUACAGUGCUAAAUUCCGUAAAUCUUUUGGUUUGACAAACAUGAAACCUCAAUAAACGUAAUCUACCACUUCAAAGAUGAGAACAAGAGAGAAACGAGAAGAGUGAUAACUAUUUGAUGGCUGUUUUCUAUUGACCUGUUUCGCAGCACCGCCAUACAGCUGAUUACUGCACAACACAGGGAAUGUGCAUAAGUGAUGUAAUCCAUCCGGGUUUAAAGGAAAGUGCUCAGUAAAACUAGAAAUGGCUGAGGAGAUCUAUAUGUAGGCAGAUGCAGGGCGGAAAGUUUUGUUUUCACAACUGCGCCGAUUUUUAUAUCCAGAACGCCUAUCAAGUCGAAAAUGGGACAAGUAGAAAUGCAGACCUUCGCGCAUCCGUUGACAUCACUUUAAACGUACAGGAAAAGUUUCUAGAAAUUGGUAGGUUGCUUUUUCGGAGAAAAUUACCGGACUUAAAGAGAAAUGACCACAUCCAAAUAUCUGUCUCAUUCCGCACACAGCUGUGAAAUUCUUCAAACCAGUCGA